rnacentral:rRNA from 1 species
GACGAACGCUGGCGGCGUGCUUAACACAUGCAAGUCGAGCGAAGCUCCUUCCUUCGGGAGGGAUGACUUAGCGGCGAACGGGUGAGUAACACGUGGGCAACCUGCCCUUAGCUCUGGGAUAAGCGAUGGAAACGUCGUCUAAUACCGGAUAUGACACGGGACGGCAUCAUCUCCGUGUGGAAAGAAUUUCGGCUAAGGAUGGGCCCGCGGCCUAUCAGCUUGUUGGUGGGGUAAUGGCCUACCAAGGCUUCGACGGGUAACCGGCCUGAGAGGGCGACCGGUCACACUGGGACUGAGACACGGCCCAGACUCCUACGGGAGGCAGCAGUGGGGAAUAUUGCACAAUGGGCGAAAGCCUGAUGCAGCGACGCCGCGUGAGGGAUGACGGCCUUCGGGUUGUAAACCUCUUUCAGCAGGGACGAAGCGAAAGUGACGGUACCUGCAGAAGAAGCGCCGGCCAACUACGUGCCAGCAGCCGCCGUAAGAC